GCGGUGGAUGAUGUGGUUUAAUUCGAUGCAACGCGAAAAACCUUACCCACCUUUGACAUGUACGGAAUUUGCCAGAGAUGGCUUAGUGCUCGAAAGAGAGCCGUAACACAGGUGCUGCAUGGCUGUCGUCAGCUCGUGUCGUGAGAUGUUGGGUUAAGUCCCGCAACGAGCGCAACCCUUGUCAUUAGUUGCUACAUUUGGUUGGGCACUCUAAUGAGACUGCCGGUGACAAACCGGAGGAAGGUGGGGAUGACGUCAAGUCCUCAUGGCCCUUAUAGGUGGGGCUACACACGUCAUACAAUGGCUGGUACAAAGGGUUGCCAACCCGCGAGGGGGAGCUAAUCCCAUAAAGCCAGUCGUAGUCCGGAUCGCAGUCUGCAACUCGACUGCGUGAAGUCGGAAUCGCUAGUAAUCGUGGAUCAGAAUGUCACGGUGAAUACGUUCCCGGGUCUUGUACACACC
rnacentral:rRNA from 1 species